GGUUCUAAUGUCUGAUGAGAAAGCCCGCGGUCUCACCCGUGGAGGGUCAUUGGAAACUGGAAGACUUGAGUGCAGAAGAGAAAAGUGGAAUUCCAUGUGUAGCGGUGAAAUGCGUAGAGAUGGAGAGGAAACACCUGGGGGAGAAGGGCGACUUUGUGUCUGUAACUGACAGAGAGGCGCGAAAGUGUGGGAGAGCAAACAGGAUUAGAUACCCUGGUAGUCCACGCUGUAAACGAUGAGUGAUAAGUGUUAGAGGGUUUCCGCCCUUUAGUGGUGAAGUUAACGCAUUAAGCACUCCGCCUGGGGAGUACGGCCGCAAGGGUAAAACUCAAAGGAAUUGACGGGGGCCCGCACAAGCGGUGGAGCAUGUGGUUUAAUUGGAAGCAACGCGAAGAACCUUACCAGGUCUUGACAUCCUCUGACAACCCUAGAGAUAGGGCUUCUCCUUCGGGAGCAGAGUGACAGGUGGUGCAUGGUUGUCGUCAGCUCGUGUCGUGAGAUGUUGGGUUAAGUCCCGCAACGAGCGCAACCCUUGAUCUUAGUUGCCAUCAUUUAGUUGGGCACUUUAAGGUGACUGCCGGUGACAAACCGGAGGAAGGUGGGGAUGACGUCAAAUCAUCAUGCCCCUUAUGACCUGGGCUACACACGUGCUACAAUGGACGGUACAAAGAGCUGCAAGACCGCGAGGUGGAGCUAAUCUCAUAAAACCGUUUUCAGUUCGGAUUGUAGGCUGCAACUUGCCUACAUGAAGCUGGAAUCGCUAGUAAUCGCGNAUCNCAUGUCGCGGUGAAUACGUUCCCGGCUUGUACACACCGCCCGUCACACCACGAGAGUUUGUAACUACCGGAAGUCGGUGGGGUAACCAGUUGGAGCCAGCUAACCUACUAGAGU
rnacentral:rRNA from 1 species